GUUUCAGUGUGUAGUCAGCUGCAACUUUGUGGAUUUGCGGAAAUUUGUGUGUGACACUCUCUAGACUGUAGAACUGAAGUCAUGGACCAGGAGCCAACUAUGUGGAUAAAAAAUGAGGCAAUGGAUGAAGUACAAACUGAGUUACACUACAUGGCCCAAGUUUACCCAUGCAUCAUGAAUGUAAAAGAGGAGUUGGAGGAGAAUGUGAAUAAAGAG